UACGAAGGGGGCUAGCGUUGUUCGGAAUUACUGGGCGUAAAGCGCGCGCAGGCGGUCCUUCAAGUCAGGGGUGAAAGCCCAGGGCUCAACCCUGGAAUGGCCUUUGAGACUAGAGGACUUGGGUACGGGAGAGGUGAGUGGAAUUCCGAGUGUAGAGGUGAAAUUCGUAGAUAUUCGGAAGAACACCAGUGGCGAAGGCGGCUCACUGGCCCGUUACCGACG
rnacentral:rRNA from 1 species